rnacentral:rRNA from 1 species
ACACGUAGGGGCCUGACGUUGUUCGGAAUCAUUGGGCGUAAAGGGCGCGCAGGCGGCCGUCCAAGUCCGGUGUUAAAUGGUCGGGCUCAACCCGAUCAUGCGCUGGAAACUGGGCGGCUGGAGUCCCGGAGGGGAUGCCGGAAUUCCAGGUGUAGGGGUGAAGUCUGUAGAUAUCUGGAAGAACACCGAUGGCGAAGGCAGGCAUCUGGCCGGAGACUGACGCUGAGGCGCGAAGGCGCUGGGAGCGAACAGGUUUAGAUACCCUGGUAGUCCGCGCAGUAAACGAUGCGCACCAGGUGUCGGGCGGCAGCGCGCAGUACCGGAGCAAACGCGAUGAGUGCGCCGCCUGGGGAGUAUGCCCGCAAGGGUGAAACUCAAAGGAAUUGACGGGG